AGGGCGGUGGGUGUUGGCUGAGGAGGGGCCUGUGCUGGGAUCAGCCCGGCUCCUGCGGUGCAGACUUGCUGCUGAGGCAAUGUGCUGCUUCUGAGGACUCGUGCAAACAACACCAGCUCCCAAAGCAACGCCUCUGCCCCCAGCACCCAGCAAACGGCUCUCCCAUCUCGCUGAGCAAUGGAGGCAAGAAAAGCCACCGGGCAGGAUGAUGCUGAGCUGCCCAAAACCCUCGAGUCCCUGUCCGAACGCAUCAGGGCCCUGCUAACGGUGCUGGAAGCCCAGCAGCAACGGCUCCAGGAAAAGACCGCCAGCCUCGACCUGCUGAUGACGGAGCUCGCGGGACUGCGGGCCUCUCUCAGGGCACCUGCUGGGAUGGAGAGCAGCUCCUUGGCUCUGCAGGAAGAGAAGAAUCACCCCUGAAAUGCCAGCUGGGCUGGCCUGGCCACCAGCCUGUUGCUGGAAGAACCCUUCACAUACGCACGUUUGCUCUCCAGGAAAUGCUUAGCCCUUUCUCUCUUGAGCUCUGCUAAGCUGGCUUUGUAUUGUCACCUGAUGCUCACGGCAUGGCACAGAAAUAAAAUGAUUUAUGUGCCCCUUUGCCACUCUGGGAAAAGCUGCAGCCCUGCUCCAGCUAGCAGUGAGCUAACCAACCAGCCCCUGUAACCUGGGGGCAGCAGAGACUUGCUGACCCAAGGCUGUACAUGAAAAAGGAAAGGGAAUUUCCUUUCCUGCCCUUAAUUUCACACUAGAAAUGCAGCAGGGCUGAACCUGUGCACUGCAAGGACUGCCCCUAACCCUGUGUCCUGCCCAUACUGAUUCGGCACAUCCUUGUCCCCAUCUCCUUCCCCACCUUUCCUCUUCCAUCGCAGGACAGAGCCAGCCCCAAAGACCAGGGGUGCUGUGCAGGGAGUCCUCCCUUGCAGCAGCACAGGCCCCGAAGAGGAGCUCAAGCCACUGCUGCUCCCUCCCAGGAGCUGCACCCAUCCCAGGGAGAAGCUGGAGGGCUAGGGCCAGUGAAGCAGAGCUCUGUCCUGCCUGGCAUUCACUCCCUGCUUCCCAGCUGCACUAAGGCUUCUUUCCUGGAGAGAGAGACAAAGAGCUGCAGUUCUCCCUCCCUGCCUUUGAAAAGCUGUUUCUGUGUUUUCUUGGCUAGGCAGUGUUGAGGGCCCUGCUCUGAAAGGGGCAGGAUACUAAACAGGCCAGUGCUUUAUGAUCCCCAGCAGCUCCCCUUGGCGUGGGGGCUUUGGAUCCCCAGUCAAGGUGCCUGAUUGAGGCCUGCACGGAGCCUGGGGG